UACGGGGGAGCAAGCGUUGUUCGGAUUUACUGGGCGUAAAGGGCGCGUAGGCGGCCACCGCAAGUCGGUUGUGAAAUCUCCGGGCUUAACCCGGAAAGGUCAAUCGAUACUGCGGGGCUAGAGUGCAGAAGGGGCAACUGGAAUUCUCGGUGUAGCGGUGAAAUGCGUAGAUAUCGCUUGGAACGCCGAAGGGUGAAAACAGACUGCUGGGGUUGCGCCGACGCUGAGACACGGAAAGCCAGGGGAGGCAAACGGG
rnacentral:rRNA from 1 species